rnacentral:rRNA from 1 species
AUACGAAGGGGGCUAGCGUUGUUCGGAAUUACUGGGCGUAAAGCGCGCGUAGGCGGAUUUGUCAGUUAGGGGUGAAAUCCCAGGGCUUAACCCUGGAACUGCCUCUAAUACUGCCAGUCUUGAGCUCGGGAGAGGUGAGUGGAAUUCCUAGUGUAGAGGUGAAAUUCGUAGAUAUUAGGAAGAACACCAGUGGCGAAGGCGGCUCACUGGCCCGAUACUGACGCUGAGGCGCGAAAGCGUGGGGAACAAACAGGAUUAGAAACCCGAGUAGUCC